AACCUACGGGGCGCAGCAGUAGGGAAUCUUCCACAAUGGACGAAAGUCUGAUGGAGCAACGCCGCGUGAGUGAAGAAGGGUUUCGGCUCGUAAAGCUCUGUUGGUAGUGAAGAGAGAUAGAGGUAGUAACUGGCCUUUAUUUGACGGUAAUUACUUAGAAAGUCACGGCUAACUACGUGCCAGCAGCCGCGGUAAUACGUAGGUGGCAAGCGUUGUCCGGAUUUAUUGGGCGUAAAUCGAGUGCAGGCGGGUCAAUUAAGCUUGUUUGUAAGCCCUCGGGUCCAAC
rnacentral:rRNA from 1 species